GGGGUAUUAGCUCAGUUGGGAGAGCGUCUGCUUUGCAAGCAGGAGGUCGGCAGUUCGAUUCUGCUAUACACCACCA
rnacentral:tRNA from 1 species